UGAACGCCGAGUCAAGCCCCACUUAAGAGAAAGUCAGAAUGGGCGAAAGGAAAAAAGGAGAGGCUUGCUAAGAAGCGGCCUGGGCCGCCAUGCCAGAAGCCGCUGGGCCGGGUGGUGAGGAGACAUUAUAUUAUUGCACUCUAUAUUCAGGAGCUGCACAUUUGAUAAGAACCAAACCUUCUGACCAACUCUGACAGGCUCUUCUGAAAACACAGGUGACCAUGAUCGCAUUUGGUAACGCCACAGAUACCACCGGCCAUGGUAGCUCAGGCUGGUAAGAAGCCUGUUAUUAGAACACAGCAGCCUGCAAUUACUGCAGGUUCAAGCCCGGCCCAAGGUUGACUCAGCCUUCCAUCCUUUAUAAGGUAGGUAAAAUGAGGACCUAGAUUGUUGGGGGGGCAAUAAGUUGACUUUGUAAAUAUACAAAUAGAAUGAGACUAUUGCCUUAUACACUGUAAGCCGCCCUGGGUCUUUGGAGAAGGGCGGGAUAUAAAUGUAAAUAAAAAAAAUAAAAAUAAAAAUAAAAAUGUGAACAGGCUGGACAUAUUGCAGCCCAUAUUGGCUGCAGUAUAUGUAAGCAUAAACUGUAGCAGGUGUACAUGGUAAUUUUCAGAACACAUUCAGCACGAUUUGAGCUUAUACCCAGAGCUUACUUGUUCAUAUUCAUAGUCUGAUAUGAUACUCGGUAAGAAGGAUUAUAUCCUUCUCCAUGGAAAUGUAUGCACAGAUGCUGAGCUUCAGGCUGGGAAGGGAAGGAGAGAGGGAGGGAGGGAGAGAAAAGCACCAGCCUUCUCUUGCUGAUAACAAUCAGUCCAUGGCAAGGUGGUCAUGACAAUCAUUACUAUGCAGCUAGAAUGUGCUGGCUUUCAUUGUGGCAUUGCCAGCAAGACUCUCCCUAGCCAUGAGUUAGUAAUGGGAGGCCAGUACUCUCCACUACAAAAUCUGGGCUAAAUCCAGGGUGCACUGACAGUUUUAUAUGACUGUCUCAGUACAGAGCUAUCAUAGAACACUUGCUAGGUAGCAUAUCCCAUAAGUAAUAAGGACAAUAGAUCUUGUGUCAGAGUAUAAAACAGAGUGAGAACAGUUCAUAAGAAAGUAAACGAAAUGAGUAACUUUUAAGUGCAGGGCCAAAUCAGUUCCUGAAAGGCAUACAUUUUUAAAACUGCCCUUAUACAACCAGCAAAACUCCUAAAUGACCACUAUUGAGGUGUAAUUGAGUAAACCCUUAAUAUUUAAACAAGUAUUACCUAUCUGUUGUGGUUUACUAAUUUAGCUGGGACAUUUUAUAUAUAUAUAUAUAUAUUAAUUGCAGAUAGUCCUCGAUUUACAACCAUUCAUUUGGUGACUGGUCAAAGUUACAACGGCCCUGAAAAAAGUGACUUAUGAGCAGUUUUCACACCUAUGACCACUGCAGUAUCCCCAUGGUCAUGUGAUCAAAAUUUGGCACUCAACAACUGACAUGUAUUUAUGAGAGCUACACUUUCCUGAGCUCAUGUAUUCCCCAUCUUCCCAGCUGUUUUCCAAAGAGCAAAGUCAAUGGGGAAAUCCAGAUUCAUUUAACAACCGCAUGAUUCACUUAACAACUGCAGUGAUUCACUGAACAACUGUGGCCAAAGAGGAAGUAAGAUGUGACACAAUUCGCUUAAGCACUAUCUUGCUUAGCAAUAGAAAUUUUGGGUUCCAAUGUGGUCAUAAGUCAAGGACUAUCUGUAUACAUUCAUAACAGUGUAUCAGGAUAUAUUUUGAACAAGAGGGAACUUAAAUGGGGAGUAUCAGAAACAUUUCUGGGAACAUAACGUCUAGAAUUAUAACAGCAUAAAGAUUUCAUAGCUUAUGGCAUAUUUGAAGGACAUAAUAUCCUUCAAAUCCUUCAGGUAGACAUGGGUUAUGCCAGUAAUGCCAACCUGAAUCCUGGCAAGUCCCAGUAUUUCUUUGCCAGCAUAAACAUCUAGGCAUGUUGGUUGGGAAGUCUGAAAGAUACCAAAUUAGUGACUGCUCUCAUCCGGGUAUAGGGAUGACAAUUAGAACUGGGUGCUGAACCUGAUUAUAAAGCAAAAGUUGUUGUAAAUUGGAAUGAAGAACUGUCUUUGCCACCCAUACUUUGAGUUGUUUGGGGUGGUUUUUUUUUAAUGAAUAGUAAGGCCUUGAUGGCCCAGGAGUUUUAUAGGGCAAAAUCAAAGUGGUAUUAUAUUAAUAUGGUUUUAAUCUCAAUUAAUUUUUGGUUGUGCUGUAUAUUUUUAUAGAUCUCCAUUCAUUUUAUAUUGCCUUUUUUAGAUGAUUGUUAGCAAGUUGUGAAAAAGAACUAUUAAAUGCAUAUGGUGGUAAUUAUCUAAUAAGUGAGCCUUUGACCUAUGAUCCAUUUUCAAAUAGUUUUAAGUGGACAAGCUAGUCUCCCUUUUUCUUUUUCCUUUACUUCCUUAGCAACUAAAUUGAAAAAGGGUUCUGACUAACUCAAAAGCUUGCUACUUUGAAAUAUUUCCAAUGAAAAGGCAUGAAAUUACGAUCACACAAUCAGACUCAUGUGAAGCAGAUAAUUCCAAAUCUCCGUUCCAUGUGAAUUUCAUGCCAGCUGCACCCUCAACAUCUUGGCAGCAGAAUGGAUUAUUAUCACAAUUUUUUUUUGUUGAAAUGAUAACUGAUGGACAUAUGAUAGGAAGAAUAGCUUUCACUCCCAUAGACAGCAGGAAAACCAGCCAUAUUAACUGACCUUAGGUACGACUUCCUAAGAUGGAAGGAGAAAGAGAGAAAGAACCAGUUAUUUAAAAUCUGAACAAGGAAUAAACUGUUAUUUUUUUAAAAAGGAAAAUCCUCCUAAUUACUUUGAAAACAUAUGGGCAUAAAUGCUGGAUGAUUAGGGAGGGAAGAUUUGAAAAAGCAGACAAGGAAAAAAAUGUUGGUGAUGCAUAUGUUCCUAAUGUAAAAGAAAUCACAUGAAGAGUUGAAUGCUUAGGAAGAAUGGAUGGCUUUCAGAUCAGUGGUAUACUCAUAGCUACAGAAAAAUGGAGUUUGAACGGGCCUUAUUAGGCCAGGCUCCUGAACCCAAGAUACAGUUCCUUGGUACAAGUGAAAGAUUCCACCCUCUAUCUAUGUAUCUUGUUCUACUGUUGGCAUGUUUAAGCUUAAGCAAAGCAAAGCUAGAGUAGCAACGAACUGCAGGGUUUUAUGUUUUAUUAUGUCUCAAUUUAACCUAUUCUCUGUGAAAAAAGAUAGAUCAUUCAAUACUUUUAGUUUUUGAUGCCUUCUCCCCCUUUUUUCCCUGAGAGAUUUAUUUAUUCUUUAUUCAAUCCAGCAGGAGACCUUUAAUACAAAAACACUAUGCCGCUAUUUUAUACUUCUUUGUUUUUCUGGUCAUCAAACAGAAUUAAGCCUUUUCUCAUUGGAUGUUUGGACAAUCUGCUCUAUGAUGGAGAUCCCUUUGAAAUGAUCUGGAUGGAAUUAAUGAGGGGAAAUUUUAAAGCUUUUCUUAAGACAAUUUCAGUUAUAUUGAAGCAUGCAUACAGAUCUAGAUAUAUGAUUCUUGACCAAAAAAUGUCUUGCUAUAGGAGUAAUUAUAUAUUUUGACAAAGUUUGUAUUGUUCAAAUACUUUUGUUUGGGAUAUGUUGACCUUUAAGUAAGAAAUCACCUAAUUUAUCUUCUUUGUCCUUUUUUAAAGCUCAUUAUUUUAUGGAAUAAAAGUUACAUUGUUGUUGAACGUGUAAUAAUAUUUCAUCACAACCAUAAACGAGAAAUUAUUAUAUGCUUGACACCUUUAACAAAUAUUGGCUAUGGAUUUUCUUAUCGAAAGAUAUGAGAAAUAAUUAUAUGUAAUCAUUUAAAAAAAGCUAUCUAAAGAAGGGGUUCCCAACCCCUGGGCCCCAGCCCAAUACUAGGCCCUGGCCUUUUGGAACUGGGCUGUACGAGCAGUGGGUGAGCAUGUGCGUACAUGCAAAGCUCCCCUCGCAUGAGUGGCAGCUGCUUAAAACUCCCUCCUGUCACUCGCAUGGAACUAUCCCCUCUACCCCCCUGCUGGCCGCCAAGCCAGAAAGAUUGGGGACCGCUUAUCUAAAGACUCAUAUUUUCAUUGUCAAGCAUAGUAACACAUAAAAGUCACAAAUAUAGUCACUGACAUGUCUGUGUUUUAAAAAGUUGUAUGUUUCCUGAUUUUAGUGGUAUAAGCAUGAAUAGUUUUGGGAAGUGAACAAUGUAAGUAAACAAUGGAGAAAUGCCUGAUGCUGAAGGUAGAUUAGGAAUCAUUUGGCCAAAGGUCUGAUUUUCUAAAGGUUUUCUUGAAGCUAUUUAGGGAUUUGGAUGGUAAAAAUAGUCCCAGUGGGGAUGGUUUAAUGGACAGAGUUGAAGUGAGGCGGUUAAAGGUGCGUUAUAAAUGCAAUUGGGUGUAAUUGCAAAUACUACACUUACUCUAUUGUUAGUAAAAAGAGAAACCUCCAUUUCUGGUAUAAAUUUCAUCAGCUUUAAAUUUAUUCCAGUAAAUUAUAUAUUAUUGAAGUAUAUAAAAAAAGAAGCCCUCAUAUUUAAAUCUAGUGGCAGAAAAUUAUCUCCAAACAACAUAUGAUGUUUUAUGAAUCAAACUCUGAAGAAGGAAAACCCAUGAGAUGAGAAUUCAGAAAGACAGCAAAAGAAAGCUGAUUUGCUAUGAAAGCUGAACAACAAUAUUUUAUUCAACCAGUGAGAAAAUAAAAGUGCAAGUUAUAUCAGCAUGAAUGCUCCUCAAAAAAAAAAAAACACGUUCCCAUUGCAUGUUUUAUAAUAAUAAUAAAUACAGCCACAGAGAUCCUUACCAAUCCACUUAAAAAGCAAGAUAGAACUUAUCAUGAAACAAGGUAACAAGGCCUCAGAAUUGAAAUGCAUGGCUUAUGUGUGUGUGUGUGUGUGUGUGUGUGUGUGUGUGUGUGUAUGUAGGUCUUUGGUUAUUCGGGUUUUCUCCCGCGUAAAAUUGGAAGUGUCUUGGCGACGUUUCGACGAAGUCUCAUUCGUCAUCUUCAGGCUUCUGCUCCCAGAAGCACGAACCUGCUUCUGGGAGCAGAAGAACCUUAUAUAUAUUAUAACUUUACAUUUGAAAAAAUCAGACUAAAUGAAUUCUGUGUAAAGUUUGAAGCUUCAUGGGUCAAUCAGAGGAACUAUAUAAACAGGAGAAGAGUCUUUGUGCCUUAGCUCCAACCCUAUGGAACAUCAGGCCCCUCAAGGUGAGAUCCUCAUCCACCCUGUUGGCCUUCUGAAAGGGCCCAAAAACCUGGCUCUGCCAACUAGCUUUUAGAGCCCAAUGGGAGCAUCCAACUCUGGAAGUGGUUAGGAGAUUAGGAGAAGAUCCCCUUUAUACAUGGACCCUUUUAACCAGAUUUUUUUUAGUCAACUUUUAAUUUUUUAAAGUUUUAAUUUUAAUGCUAAAUGUUUAAACAUCUUUUUAUAGUGCCCAGAGUCACUUGAUAGUAAGAUAGGUGGCAUAUAAAUUUAAUAAAUUCAAUAAUUCAUUCAUUCAAUCAAUCAAUCAAUCAAUAUUCUGCAGGAAAUUCCUAGAACAGGACUAAAACAAAGAUUUUUUUUCUCUCCUCUUCCUUAAAUGUUUACAGAUAAUAACUACCAAGAUGUAGUUCUGCUGUAUCUUUUCCAGGUAAAUUCUUCUCUUCUUUUCUUAAAGGGUAUCAUAUUCCUGAUUAGUACUAGAUCUCAGCAUGGUGCUCAUGCAGGGGUGGGCUUCAAAAAUUUUAGCAAGGGCUUCUCUGCUCAGUUUCUGGGUGGGCAAGGCCAUGGUGGGCAUAGCCUAGUUGGCCUCCUGCACCACGGUGGGUGUGGGUGUGUUUUUGCCCUCCCCAGGCUCUGGAGACUUUCCUCGAGCCUCCGAGAGGACGAAAAUGGCCACCCCAGACUCCUUUCCAGCCUUCCUGAAUGUCCAGUAGGCCCAUUUUUCACUCUCCCCAAGAUUCCACACGCGCCCUGCACUUACCUGCAUCCAAAAUGGGCCGCAUGGGGACUCCUGGGAGGGGCGGGGCAGGGUGGGAGGGGCCAGCCAGGAAUGGGAUUUUGGGGUUCUCCAAACUGCACAGAGUCUUAGCUAGAGGUUCUCCCAAACCCCUGCAAACCCCCAGCAGCCGACCCCUGUGUUCAUGACAUUCUGUUCAUCAUUCUGUGCUCAUAUCAUCUAAAUAAGAUUCAAAGCCCCAAAUAAAGCAAGUGGCUCAAGUUCGCUCUAUAUGACAGAGCAGAAAAUUGAUCUUUUUGAAGUCCAGAAUUAUAUGUCCUGGAAUCUGCUAGGCUAAUAUCCUGUCUACUUUCCUGAAAAUAGCUAUUGUAUUCUCCAAGUUGCUUGUGAUAAAUAGGAAUUGCCCUACGUGACCAGUCAGAGCUGCUUUUGUAAGUGAAAAGCUGCUUAAUGAUUCAGAUAUAGACCACUUGGUUGUGAUGUGUUACUUAGGUAGGUAACUGUGAACACAACAGCUACUAAAACUUAUUUUCAUAGCUGGGUAGCUUUCUUAGCAUUAGGUCUGAGACUAUUUUAACUUCAAGCACCUCUAAAGAAAAAAAUUAGAUAUCUACGUUUGACAUCUGACCUAAAUUCAUGGUCAUACAGACUCUGAUCAGGUUCCAGUUGGUUGUCUGGAACUGUUGACUGCUACCAACAGCUAUAAUAAAAAGUGGCUCUAAAUAAAUAUCUCUUAAGCUAACAGAAAUUGAAAUCUUGUGUACUCAUGUGAACUACUGAUUCCUGCUUCUCUUCUCCUGGUAUUUUUUACCCUCCAAGGAAAUGGAAAUGGGUUCAAAACAAGACUAUAUGUAACUUGUCAUACAUAUAUCUUUCCUUUAUAGACCAAUUGUUACAUGCUCAGGUGCCAAGCUAAUGUUAACAGGUUGAACAGCUCAUCACAACCUGCAGUUAAGAUAAUUAGAUACUGGGACGACUUCCGGUGUCCAGAGGCAACGGUCGUCUGGAGGCUUCUCCUGCCCCCAGCGCCCGAAUCCGGCCGCCGCCGAGGCCCCUAGGGGCCAGGUGUUCCGAAAAGGACACCUGCCGCACGGACGGCUCGCCAGGGGUCUCCCAGCCGACAUACAGGACUGGGGGGACCGAUGCUGGCGCGUCCUAGGCUCGGCGGGGUUUGGAGGCCACGGGCCACGGCCAUUAUUAUGGUCGUCGUCUGGGCCGCUGUGCCCGGUGACACCGGGGCUUUGGAUUUAUAACUGCAGCAGCCUGGUGGUGAACAGGGAACGGAGAAGAAUUGAGGAAUGGAGAAGGGAAGGGGAUAUCGGUAAACGCGAGUGGAGUGCUCCGGAGUGCGGGGGGGUUUUUCUCCCCUGCGGCUGGAAGGAGCACGAGUCAUUCUGGAGAGAGGAGAACUUAAAAUAAGAAGAUUACUGGUUUUGUGGAGCUCUGGAGAGAAGAGGUGAUGGAGAAAUUUAGGAGGGAGGGUUUGAGCCGCCUCCCCCCCCUGGGGAACAGUGGUGGCGCCCAGCUUCCGCCUUCACUAUGAGAAUCUUGAUGACAUCACUUCCCUUCGGCUUCCUGGUUGACUAACUGUACUCUGGACUCGUUGCUCCUGUGAGUGCCCCCUGGUGGAUCCGGAGGAAAUUACAAGGAUACUGUGCUUGCCUGAGGAUUUUGAAUUUUUUUUUUCUAAAUGGCAAAGGUCAGAGACC